rnacentral:tRNA from 1 species
GGAGAGGUGCUGGAGCUGGCCGAACAGGCAUGACUGGAAAUCAUGUGUAUCCUUCCCGGAUACCGUGGGUUCGAAUCCCACCCUCUCCGCCA